AAGUCGUAACAAGGUCUCCGUAGGUGAACCUGCGGAGGGAUCAUUACAUGAAACACAACCCGCGUGCUCCGGUGCGUGGGCGUCGUCUCAAAACCCUUUGUCGUCCGACUAUGUUGCCUCGGGGGAGACCCUGCCCUCGGGCGGGUGGCACCCCGGUGGACCAAACCAAACUCUUGCGUAACCAGUCGUCUGAGUGAUUUACAAAAUAAAUCAAAACUUUCAACAACGGAUCUCUUGGUUCUG
rnacentral:misc_RNA from 1 species